UACGUAGGGGGCGAGCGUUGUCCGGAUUUAUUGGGCGUAAAGGGCGCGUAGGCGGCGUGUCAAGUCAGGCGUGAAAGCCCCGGGCUCAACCUGGGAACCGCGCUUGAGACUGGCAUGCUCGAGUUCGGGAGAGGAUGGUGGAAUUCCCAGUGUAGAGGUGAAAUUCGUAGAUAUUGGGAAGAACACCGAUGGCGAAGGCAGCCAUCUGGACCGACACUGACGCUGAGGCGCGAAAGCAUGGGUAGCAAACAGG
rnacentral:rRNA from 1 species